UUCAUCGCGAGGUGAAAUCUGAAGGAAGCCGUCGGCAAACAUCUGGCCUAACGAACAGAAACUUCAUACAAGGCAUAUGACCGUGGGUAAGAUUGCUAAACAAAUCGAAGCCCUAUAGCUAUUCGGAACGGUCGGUGUAGAUGAAGUAGGUAUAAGAUGGAAAGACAACGCC
rfam:Bacteroides sp. CAG:462 genomic scaffold, scf574